CCUAACACAGCUUCCUGCUGGAAGUUUCCGUUUAAGACUGGAGCACUUUCACAACAAGAAGCAUUGGGGUUUUUUUUGGUUUCUUUUCCAAAACUUAGGGAGAGCCUGGAUAUGUUAUAGCUGGUACUGAUGCAAACUAUGUACCUGGACGAAAAGGAGAACCUGGAUCUUCGGGCCCCCAAGGACCACCUGGUGUGCCAGGAGUCAACGGAGCUCCAGGCUUGCCCGGGCAACCAGGACCAUCAGGGCCACCAGGAUUAUCUGUCAAGGGAGAUACUGGAGACCCUGGGGAAAAAGGCUUAAGGGGGAAGUCGGGCAUGAAAGGAGACAAAGGAGAACCAGGAAUAGAUGGGACUGCAGGUUUACCUGGUCCCAUUGGUAUUGAUGGCGUUCCAGGAUUACAAGGUCAGAAGGGAGACAAGGGUGAAAAGGGAAUUGGGAUACAAGGUGUUCAAGGUCUGCGUGGAGAGCCAGGAGAAAAGGUACAUUAAUGUGCAGACUUUACAGUAAAGACAGCAAAACCAAAAAUAUGUUUUCUCACUGAAAAGUUUUAUUUUCAAGGGCGAUGUUGGCUUAACAGGAC
rnacentral:lncRNA from 1 species